AGAUUGAACGCUGGCGGCAUGCUUUACACAUGCAAGUCGAACGGUAACAGGCCGCAAGGUGCUGACGAGUGGCGAACGGGUGAGUAAUGCAUCGGAACGUGCCCAGUCGUGGGGGAUAACGCAGCGAAAGCUGUGCUAAUACCGCAUACGAUCUAUGGAUGAAAGCGGGGGACCGAAAGGCCUCGCGCGAUUGGAGCGGCCGAUGUCAGAUUAGCUAGUUGGUGGGGUAAAGGCCCACCAAGGCGACGAUCUGUAGCUGGUCUGAGAGGACGACCAGCCACACUGGAACUGAGACACGGUCCAGACCUCCUACGGGAGCAGCAGUGGGGAAUUUU
rnacentral:rRNA from 1 species